CAAAUUCUGGUUUUAUUUUGACCAGCAGCUGCACAGGCAUUUUGAGAAGCCACAUUUUGGACAUGGGUGUAUCCUGUGUCUCCUUUGGAUGAGAAGACAGGAACAGAUGAGCUGGAGGCUGAAUUUUGGAGCCAAACUGAGCAGUGGUGGCUGCAGUGACCCCUCUGAAGGAUGCUGAACUGCAGCAGUACAAUUCCAGCUCUGGGAAGUUUUGUUAAGGAUCCUCAGGUGUCACCUGGUGCUUACUGUCAGAAUCCAAGCCUGCUGCAUUUAUUUCUUUUCCCUGGGAGGACACAAACCCGUGUGCUGCUCCUCAGAUGAGAAGAACGUGGCAGAUCCUUCCUCUCUGCCUGUUUUCCACAGAAAGGCUCGCGUCCCGUUUGUCGUGGUUAAUAGGAUUAGAGCAUCAGCCUUUCUGGAGGAGAUUGAAAUGCAGGGGAACAGUGCUACUGAGGUGUCUUUCUUCUCCUCCUGUGAUGGGCAGAAGGACACACCUCCAAGCAGAGGGGAUUUGUCUGGUGGGAGCAGGCAGAUUAUCUGUAUCUAGUGAAACAAGGUGUGCAUGGCAACCUUUGCCAGGGCUCAGAGCCAGAACCUACACUAUAAAAUAAUUGUGUCACUACCUAACCAAGGCACUCUUCAUGUUUCAUUUAUCUUUUGACUGUAAUUGAAUGGUUGAACAGCAAAAAAAAAAAAUGUAGACAAAUUCCAGCUGUAUUGAGAUCUGUUUCUUUCUCUGCUACCAUGGCCCAUCAUUAGAUAGUUUCACUCUCUGUACAGAAGGUCAGAGAGUAUAAAUAUAAAUUGCAUUUUGCAUUACUUCUAGAUGAGUGAAGCUGUCAAAGCAAUAAUAUAAGCUUUCAGUCCCACAUUCUACCACUUCUUUCCCAGUUUUUGGCCAGGAGGUCAUGUGCAAAUUGAACGUGACAGCCCAGACGACAUGUCCAACAGACUUAUAUUGUUAGACAUUUCUGCCAUGGCACUCACCACAAAUUAAACCCACGUCGGACUUGGAGCUCUUCAAGAGCUGCUAACAGUAGCUCAGGCUUCUUGCAAAAAAGUUUAUGUCCACGUCAAGCCUGUGCAAGAAUAACAGCAACUCUUUUGGAGGAUCUUGUCAAAAAAAAUGGAAAACACGAGGGGAAAAAAUUCUGACAGGUAAACCUGAAAGAGCUGAGCACAGUAAUGCAGACUUUAAGUUGUUUGAAAGAGAUUUGCAUGUAGCACAGUGGGGAGUAUUUUAUCUCUUGAAAACAUUGCACCAGCAGAAAUAAUCCACUGACAUUCAAAUGAGCAAAGAAAUACCCGUGUUUUACCACAAGAUGGACCAUAAAGGAUGUUCUUCAUGUGUCUUUUUCGAGCAGAUUUGUCAAUAAUCCUCAACUGCGAAGUUUAUUCUAAAGAAAGAAAGAUGGGACAAAAAGAAAAAGGUAAAAGUCAUGUUCUGUUCCAGGUGGUUGCAUUACAGAUUGCUCUGAACUCUGGGUCUCGGUGCAGCCAGGUGAUCCUGCACUUGGGAAAGAGGAUGGGGGAACCAGGUGAGAGAAGGACAUCAAAAAUGCCCCACAAAAGUCAGCACCAUACCUCACUGGCAGCAUUCAAAGCAGAUUUUCAAAGAAUUUCAACCAGUUCAAAUCCAGAGUGAAUUGGACACAAACCUAUCAAAGGCAGAGAUGGAGAUAAUCAUGUGAAAACUGGGAGAUUCUGCUGAAGCACCAGCCUGGAACAGCACAACAGAAAUUACCAUUGGGGUAAUUACACUGACAUUUAAGCUUUCAAAACAGAAAAUGCUUAAAAUAUGCAGUAAUAUGUUGUAUCUUUGACUCACAAGAGGAAAGGGAGAUGAAAGCACAGGUAAUAUUCCUUUGAUGUUUGAACUACAUACUCAGGUCUCCUGCCUUGACUUCUGGGGUUUUUUUAUUUGCUAAUUGUGCUUUGGUAGUGCUUCGAAGGCAUUAAAUUCCUCAAAUUAAGGCACGUUGCCCUACUCCAGAUAUAGCUUUCCUCUUGAGAGCCAGGGAGAAGAGUGUUGCUGGCAUUUUAAGUUCAAAUGCCCAGCAGAGAAUUGGAAGAUCCACAGACAUCAUUUCCAUGACCCUUUUUCACCUUUGCAUCUUCCUGAUGAGGAAAACCAGGAGAUUCUCCCUUCAUACCCAGAAGAAGUAAAUUUUAUCCCACAUGGGAGAUUGCAGAGCACUGAACUCACCUGGAUGGUUUAGCAAAGACUCCAUUCUCUUGUCCUAAAAACACAUUGCCUCAGUUUCCCUGUCAAAUGGAUGUGAUAAUGAUGAUCUGCCUCUUGGGAGCACUGUGAACAGCAAUUUCUGGUUUUAUUAGCUCUUCCAAGAUGAAGUAUGUCACAUAAAUGGUCAGAGUUAUUAAACUGGGCUUAAUUAGCAAGGGCUUGAUAGGAAUUUCUAUCAUAAAAAGGUGUCUUUGAACACAUGAAGGAGUUGGUGGAGUUGAUCCUGGCCCAAGGCUUCCCUUCUGUGUGGCAGAGCAGCACAAGGAUGGCAAAAGGGAAACCAUCCCACGCAUCCCACUGCAUCCCUAAAUGAGAGCCUAAGAGGAGAAUACAAAGUGUAUGCCCAGGAUCAGUGUGAGACAGAAAUCCCAAUUAAUUUCUGAAGUAAACAGGGUGAAAAUGAGCUUCCCAAGAAUCCUGACUGCUCAAAACAAAGUGAGAAUUAAAAAACCAGACCCAAGUUCUAGCAGAGGAAACGUGACAAGGGGAACACAGGCUUAGUUGGGAGCUUUGGAGCACCAGUCAGAUGGGAUAAAUCUACUUUUGUAUCUCUGUGGGUUUGGUUUUCUCUAAAAGCAGAGCUCUAUUUUGAUGGCUGGUUUGAGGGAAAACUAAGCUACUGUCAUUAAAACCCAAACUGUAAUCCUAGCAAAUUAGCCAAACCUCCAGGCACUCUGCUCACCAGAAUUUCCUUACCAGAGGAAUCUGUCACUUUGUCACUACAGAAUGAGGCCAAAUUUUCAAAGAUGUCUCUGCAGUGAGACUCACAGGUCUGGUGCUGAGCCAUCAGGAGAUUUGCAUGCACAGUUUGGGUUUCCAACAUGACAAUAAGAAGUUUAACUCCAAACACAACUGUGUUGCACGAGUUGCAUUAAAAAAAAAAAAAACAAAGUGAGAAAAAGCCUCUUUUCAUUUUCUGGGACAAGCAUGAGUAAACUAAAGUGACAACUGUGCUUUUGCUUUACAUUCAGGCUCCCUUUGAUUUUUCGUGAGAGCUUGGACACCCAGAAGCUGCCUUCAUAGGAGCUAAGCAGGAAAAUAAAAGAAGUUUUAAAAACUUCUCCUGUGUUGAAAUCAAUGGAUGUUGAGCACUGAAGGUUAUGAAUACAAUUCUCCUGAAAUUUUUUUGUGUUGAUUACAAAAACUGCCUCUAGAUCUUUAGGGGGGAUAUAGAUGUUCAAGAUAUUAGGGGGCACAGUGAUGGAUGGUGAUGGUUUUAAACAAAAAUAGGUUAGAUUUAGAUUAGAUGCUAGGAAGAAAUUCUCCCCUGUGAGGGUGUGAGGCCCUGGCACAGAGAAGCUGUGGCUGCCCCAUCCCUGGGAGUGUCCAAGGCCAGGUUGGAUGGGGCUUGGAGCACCCUGGGAUAGUGAAAAAUGUCCCUGCCCAUGGCAGAAGGGGUGCAAAGAGAUGAUCUUUGAAACCCAAACCACUCUGGGAUCCUGUGGCUCCGUGAUUCCAUGGGGAUGGAUCAGUUCUGAGGGUGUGGGUGCAGCUCUCUGUGCCAGCAGGGACAGCAGGGCUGAGCUGGGUCACUGCUCACUCCCCGCUCCAGUGCAGGGGGCUGAGACCCUGCAGGGCACCGAUGUCAUGUGUGUCUGAGCAGAGCUGGGCACUUCUGGUGUGGUUACAGACAUCUCUGCCUUAGUGGCACCAGCUCCUGCAGUCUGCCAGAUACAUCAAGUGUGCUUCUAAAUCUGGUGUUUAUUUUUCACUCCAUUUUGCCCUCCAUCAGGAUUGAACCAGCUGGGCACGCAGCGCUUCUCUUUCCAAUUUUAUCACUAACAGGUUUUGCUAUGGCUCAGUUUCUUCUGCAUUUUAUGUGUUUUUAAAUUGGUAGAUGCUUUAAUGAUAUUUGCAGCUAAUAUGUCCCUCCCCUGAGCCACAUCCAUUGCACUUAGAGUGUUCUAUCAAAUAUCUGUGCCAGGGCUAGAGUGUCACAGGGUUUCAUCUUUUCACCCUGUCCAAAAGGGGAGUUUGGAGUGGGCCAUCACAGGGGCUGCUGUCACACACUUCAGGUCACUCAUUUACUUCCCAAAUUAGUGCAGCCCCAAAGCAGGGUGUGCAGUCAUGCAGUGACUGCUGUCCCAGUGUAAAGCGGCACAGCUGGGCACUCCAGCCUGGUCUAAGAUCAGUUUUUGAAGCUGGGCUCUGCUUCCUACAAGUGUGCAUUUUGUAUGCACACUCAUCUGUGUGUUUAAAGAUAGUUCAU